rnacentral:lncRNA from 1 species
GAAUCUCUAAUCAAAUAGUUUAACCUUUUGACAACGAGGAGACAUAUCGCUAAAAGAAAAUAAAAAUCGUGUCUAGUUGAUAGAGCUUUUUGGGAAUUAAAAAGUGUGGUAGAAGAAAGGCAUCAAAUGCUUCGUUAUUGGGAUUCGCACUGUUGGUGAAUUCCACGAUCUGCCAACCAUCUAUUUAUUUACAUUCUUUCUUUUUAUAAUAAGUUAAAUGUCAUACAAUAAUAUAAAAAUAAACAAACCACAAAUGAAUAUAUGUUGUUCUUGGUCUUCCCUUCAAUUAGGGAUAGAAUCUACUUUUUAUUCCAUUCUUUG